rnacentral:lncRNA from 1 species
UAAGGAAGAGAGAAACGGGAAUGAGAAACAAUUACUGUGGGCUCCCAAUGGCCUGGAGUGAAUCACCAAAGUAACCUAAACAUGAAGUCAUGAAAAACUAAGUGGAUUCUGCCUUUUAGUACUUCCCAUCAUGGGGGAAGUCACCAGCGACCUCCUUACUGUAUUUUGGAUGAUUCAAGAAAUAGAAAGGUGUCCUACUGACUUCUGAAACAGGGUGUCUUCAUAUUGAUUAGGGUCACCGUAAGCCUGGGAGCUGAUGCUUACUCUCAGGCCAUUCUAAAGUCCUACAGUAUCCAGAUGAGAAACAAGAGAAAGCAUAAGCUUUGGAGUCCAAAGAUCAGGAUUUUAUCGUCAGCACUCCACACCUUAGCUAUAUAAUCUCAAAGCAGCCUGCACCUGUGGCCUCAUGGCGCAUUCUCUACAAUCAGUUGA